rnacentral:rRNA from 1 species
GUGGGGAAUAUUGGACAAUGGGCGCAAGCCUGAUCCAGCCAUGCCGCGUGAGUGAUGAAGGCCUUAGGGUUGUAAAGCUCUUUCAGUAGGGAAGAUAAUGACGGUACCUACAGAAGAAGCCCCGGCUAACUUCGUGCCAGCAGCCGCGGUAAUACGAAGGGGGCUAGCGUUGUUCGGAUUUACUGGGCGUAAAGCGCACGUAGGCGGUUUGUUAAGUCAGAGGUGAAAUCCCGGAGCUCAACUCCGGAACUGCCUUUGAUACUGGCAAGCUAGAGUCCGGAAGAGGUAAGUGGAACUCCUAGUGUAGAGGUGGAAUUCGUAGAUAUUAGGAAGAACACCAGUGGCGAAGGCGGCUUACUGGUCCGGAACUGACGCUGAGGUGCGAAAGCGUGGGGAGCAAACAGGAUUAGAAACCCGUGUAGUCC